CAUGACCUUACAAUACUUUUUCAAUAUACAUCAGAUCAUCAUGUCCACAUCUAACCAUUCUAUUACAUAAUUGGAAACUUUACUCUUCUACACUUCCUGGUCUAGCCCGAACCUGCAAUCCUGGGGGGUAAAGGGAAUGGGGUGAGCUACAAGAGCCCAGUGAGCAGAAUAAUAAAGCAUUUAAAAUACAUGCGAUCAUGGAAUGCAUCACAUCACAGACAAGCCACAUCAAGGGUAAACCUGUCACCAAAUAGUCCCAGAUUAACUCUGUGCCAGGGCGUAGUCAAAGGCUCACUGGACUUCCUGUGAUCAUAACAUAUUAACUCUGUGCCAGGGCGUAGUCAAAGGCUCACUGGACUUCCUGUCAUCAUAACUCUGUGCCAGGGCGUAGUCAAAGGCUCACUGGACUUCUUGUCAGGGACUAUUGGGUCAUCCAGCAUUACCCACAUCAACAACAUAAUGUGCCAUGCAACAUAUUCGUGAAAUUUCUAAUGCAACAACCUAAAAUAUCACAUGGCAUAAAUGAUGCAUGAACAUGCUCAAAAAUUUAUAUUUCAUUACUUUAAGAACUUAAGAGUUUAUUCUACUCACCUCUGGUUGGCUCUAAAGACUCUGACAAGGUACUGAAGCAGCUAGCACUGCUGGGGUCCUCGGUUCCUCGGGUCCGAACCUACACAGGUGGACUCAAAUGAGGGACCAAACAUACUAGAACAUAACUCUAAGAAUACCCC
rnacentral:lncRNA from 1 species